rnacentral:rRNA from 1 species
CGGGUGGGGAAGAGACUGAGAACUCGCUCCCGAUCCAGAGGACGUGGGCGGCGGCGGUGUAUACUAGAGGCCGCUGUCCUCUAGGACGGGAGGCCACCUAACCGAAGUGGGAGGGGGCAUAGGGGUGGCAUAGGGGUCAGGGAAGCGGCGAAAGGGCGUGUGACAGGGCUGCGGUGAGGGUGGGUGCGGGUGGCUACGACGGGGAGGGUGGAGCGGGGAGGGGGCAGGGGUUUAGGCGCGGCUGCGGUGAGAGUGUACUCGGGGACCACCCAUGACGAGGAAGGAGGAGCGGGGCGGGUACAGGGGUUUAGGAGGGGCCGCGGUGAGGGGCUCCUCGGGACCACCCAGCGAUGGGCUGUGGAAAAAACGGAGCUUAAGUUAGCACCCAAGUGGGCCCACACGGAGAAAGAGGUACACAAAACUCAAAACUCAAGGUCCGCUCCUAACACGGGCCCCCCUAGGUCUGCUGCAGCGCCACGUGGGCUGGCUCCUGCUCGAGCACACACGGUGCCGGUUCCCCACGUCUAACACUUUAGAACCACGGUAGAUCCACUUUACAGACAAGUUCGUGACAGGUCGUCAAACUCUAGAGCCAGUUACACCUCCACGGGACGGUACUGUACUACAAUCUACGUCGUUGAUGCUGAUACCAACGCAGACACCGACCGUUUUUUCCGUCGGCUCUGUAGGAACCUCAUUUCAAAUGUUCUUACAACUCUACAAUGGAAAAGGACUCGACAACUUGUUCAUAUAACCCCUCUCACUUAGUCCUCGUGUGACCGCCUAGUCCUUGCUCACCACGACCUACCUGCUCUUGAUGCGAAGUUAACGUAGUCUUCGUGUGACCGUUCCUACCGAGGAGGGUCAAACUCUCUAAGCGCACCACUAGUGACUAUGUGUCGACGUCGGUCUCCACAACAGGUAUCCACUUCGUAGUUGGACGGUAAACACUCGGCAAUCCUCGACGACGCAGCGUGACGGUCUCACUAGCGGCAGCAACAAACGGCCUCGUCUCGGUACGGACAGUACGCGCAGAGCGACCUAAUUUCGGUGCCGACAUCAGUUUGUGUGACUGUUGCCACGAUACUCCUUACUUCCUGUUGGACCUGCAACCUACAGUCCCGUCCCAACUCCAUCUCCUUGAACUUACAUAGAAGCUCGUCCUGCCGCCAGUCAGUCAAGCCGGACCCACGACUCACAGCUGGGAGAGCACACGUUGUUGACAUCCUACUGCAUCUCGAAGUUCUACCCCGCUAUCGUCCUACAACGCCUCGAACCACUCUAGCUCCGGUACAACACCUCCGUCCGACCUGCCGAUCUCCUGUCUGACCUGGUCUCCAUGCCGCUCCCAUCGUACCGGACCAAAACGCUCUACAAUCCGAGUUUACUUCCGGUUAAUCAUCACGUUUUUUAUUUACUUAUCAAUUCUUGUCUCUACGUACAACGAAGUGCGCGUAACCUAGUAAAGGCUCCAAGACCCUCUCCCCUAAUACUCACCGCUAUCCAUACGUAUACAUUUACGGUCAACCAACUGUUCUUGCCUUACACACACAGUCUGACUAACGAUGUUCAAGUUUUACUUAAAUGGUACAAUGGUUCUCCACCAUGUCUUUUUUGCGAAAGAACAUGCGCCAUGGAGUUUCAAAGGGG